GCCAAUUUGCUUGUAUAAACCUCAUUUCCAUUAAACAUGAUUUUACAGAUACAGCUCUGGGACCAUCUGUUGGAUUAGCCUUGAGACCCCAAGUAGUGAGUGAUGCAGGAUUCCAAGAAGAACUCAAGUGUGAACUCCAGAGAUUUACAAACCUUAGUGUUGGUGCUCCCAUCUGUGGAAGAAAAGAGAUUAAAGAAGCUUAAAGCUGCAUGAAGACAAAGGCCAAGAGGGACAUGGACUCUUCUUCAUGAUUUCAAAGAUACGCUGAGGCAGAUAAUGUGUACCCAGAAUGGUUUACUGAAAAGGUGCCCUGUGUAUGAAGCUGUGAAGGUGAAACCUAAGAGCCAAGGAAACCCCCAAAAUUUUGGAGAUACUGGAACCACUGAAUACCUGCUGAGGAAAGCUGCAUGUAAGAGAGAGGCUGCAGAUGGCUAGCUCCAUGAUAGCCAGGGCUAUACAGAGAAACUCUGUUUCAAAAAAACCCAAAACAAAACAAACAAAAUAAGUAAAUAAAAUAAAAUAAAAUA
rnacentral:lncRNA from 1 species